rnacentral:lncRNA from 1 species
CAAAUAUGAAGAAAAUGUCAAGGGAGACAAUGUGGCAUCUUUUGAGAAUUACUUAGAAUGUGCAGCUGCCCCACCCCACACACCACUAUCCUCACCUUAUGAAAAGAACCAGAAAGGCUGAGCUUGAUUUGUCCUCUUUCUAGAGAGAGAGCACAAGCUGGUGUGGGGGGCGGACAGGGAGAGAGAGAAGCAGACUCGCAGCGGAACAAGGAGCCUGAUGCGGGGCUGGAUUCCAGGACCUCAGGAUCAUGACCUGAGCCUGAAUACAGACACCGAAAGGACUGAGCCACCCAGGCGCCCCUCAUUGUAACAAGAUGGAAUAUUCAACUGUAUCAGAAAGGUCAAGUCAUUCCACAGUUUUAUUUAACAGUUUUAUUGACAGGAGAUCAAAUAAUCC